UCAAAGAAAUUCUCCAAAACCGUUUAUUCCUAAAUGAGAUCUCUAUCAAGGAUUCUUAUCUCGAUCAUCGUUCAAACCAACGUCAUCUUCUACAAAACUCAAUCGACAUCUUCAAACUAAAGCAAACCGAAGCACGUUCUAAAUGGUUAAGCUCGAACUACGAUAAAAUGCGAGGAGCGACGAGAAGACGAGAGCAGCAAAAGUUAAUCAACAAAAGGGGCCACUUUCUGAGCAAUCUCUAAGCGACUCAUUAAUUAAGAGAGGAAAAACGCGAAGGCUCGCGUACAAGGAGGAACACCUACACGUCGACGUCACGUACGAGCCGUUUCAUCAUCAUUUUUCUGCAUGAUCCCGUUCUCUUCGACAGGAGAUAUCGAACAGAGUGGCUGUUCGUGCAAUUAUGAUGCACAAAGAUUAAUAGCGUCGGACAAGCACGAGCAAAGCUGGAUGUUUUACUGCAAUGGCGACUGCAAGCCUAUCUUUGCGCAAUUUGCAAAUGUACCACGACCGGACUGCACAAAACCAUGUGCCACUGUAAUGGCGGCCGCCGGCACAAUAGGGUUGGAUACACGAAACUAUAUUUUGAUUGGAAAUGCAUUUGGAACGACGUUAUCGUGUCGAUCGGAUCUCUGUACCUUGAAAACCGAUGGAAACUGUUGACCUUUUGCUAGAUAGACAGAGGGAGGAAAAAGGAGAAACUAAACGAGGAAACGGAAUAAAAAAGAUUUAUAUCGCGCCAUUGCGCAUUGCAGAAUAAUCAGAGGAGCCUGUUUCCCCGUGCGAAACGCUUUUCCUGCAGAUCGAUACGGAGGAAAGUCAACGAGACGCGAUUCAUUCUCCUCCUUUUCGACUUCGUCGAUUUUCAUUUGAAAUUUUUCUUCUUACCCCAGACUCGACGACACGUUUUCGCCGAACAUAAUUCCGAAUAACUUCUCACACGAUGGAAACGCGUCGUCGAACGUCUCGAUCUUCCCCGAGAGGGUUCGAGCCUCGCGAUCGAUAGAGAUCGCUAACAGGCGUGGGAAGGAAAACGCAGGUGCAAGUAUUGCGAUGGCAAAGCGUUCUCGUUCGGGGAUCGAUAUUACCUCCUUAGUAUCGCGUUUGGCGCAUCAAACGCAGCCGUCAGAGGCAACAAACGACGUGAACGGAGAUUACAUUCUACGGUCGCCCCGCUCGUUACUUUGACCAUAGGACCAUUAGAGCGCGAAGUUCAAAAACUUUGGGAUACAAGUUUCUCUGGAAGACAGAAUAACUCUUGGACCUGUUCUCCCGAAUCGAAUAGACUCGCUGGUUCUUGUGGAAGCUGGAAUGAGAUGUGAAACUAAGAACUGGGUGAUAAAACGUAGAUGAGAGAGGAGAUAUGCUAACUGUUUUUCCAAGGAAACGAGAAUACGGAUAGAUUACUAAUUCAGCUAGGUGAUGGCGGCCGGAAAUGGGCACGAUAAAUUUCCGUUUAAAAUGUGCCAGUGGCGCCGAGCUAGAGAUUAAGAGAUUAACGCGAGAUCGACGAAUCCUGAAGGAAUUCAAGGAACGCGAGUGAUAUUGCCGGCGCAAUUCGCCUGGAUUUAACGAUUGGAAAGAGGAAGCUCGAGCUUAUUCGGCUAGGAAAUAAGGACACAAAUGAGAGCACAAAGCGGAAAGGGGAAAUAAACUGAGCCUCUUGAACUGGCGAUUGAACUUUCCAGUCUGAGGAGGCAUUAGGCUCGCUUGGGAAGGCUGAAUAGCAAGACACAUCAAUUCAGGAAUUAAAUUAAAAGAAAAUGGAGAGGCCGAUGUAAAAAUUCAAUUUUAGUCAGAAUUUUGUAUUCUUAAUGAAGAAAUGAAGUUUUUCGAGGAUUAAGCAUCGACCCACUAAAUCUUCCGGAUUAAACAGAUUCGACAGAUUAAACUUUUUGCAAUUUCUGGCAAUGAAUGGCGAAAAAGCAAUUUCAUCGUUUUCAUUUCAAGAU